rnacentral:rRNA from 1 species
UACAGAGGUCUCGAGCGUUUGUUCGGAUUCAUUGGGCGUAAAGGGUGCGUAGGUGGCGCCGUAAGUCGGGGUGUGAAAUUUCGGAGCUUAACUCCGAAACUGCAUUCGAUACUGCGGUGCUUGAGGACUGGAGAGGAGACUGGAAUUCAUGGUGUAGCAGUGAAAUGCGUAGAGAUCAUGAGGAAGACCAGUGGCGAAGGCGGGUCUCUGGACAGUUCCUGACACUGAGGCACGAAGGCCAGGGGAGCAAACGGG